rnacentral:rRNA from 1 species
UACGAAGGGGGCUAGCGUUGCUCGGAAUCACUGGGCGUAAAGGGUGCGUAGGCGGCCCUUUAAGUCAGGGGUGAAAUCCCGGAGCUCAACUCCAGAACUGCCCUUGAUACUGGCGGUCUCGAGUCCGGGAGAGGUGAGUGGAACUGCGAGUGUAGAGGUGAAAUUCGUAGAUAUUCGCAAGAACACCAGUGGCGAAGGCGGCUCACUGGCCCGGUACUGACGCUGAGGUGCGAAAGCGUGGGGAGCAAACAGG